CUGCGGUUCCAUAAGUGGUUACUUGAACGCUUCAAUCACGUAAAACGCUUGCAUCUGUAUUUACAACGUAAACAAUAUGGCAUCCGAUGAUUACAUCACCUGGUCUGUUCCAGAACUAACGUUACGUGAAGCUGUCACAAGAGACAGAAAUAUAGAUCUUAUAGAAAGAAUCAAUUAGAAGAGCCAAAAUUUAUAAGCUUAUAUUCAAAACAUUCUGGAGGAGCAUAUUGUGUGAAGAAGCCAGCAGAAGUCAAGAGAAAUAAAAAGAAUGGAACAAAAGAAAAAUUGAAAAAGAACAGUGAAAUGACAAAAUUCAAUAAAAUUUUUGCAUUUCUUAUUGUUGUUAUCUUGUGUAUUGUUGACCAAGACAGCAAAGAAAACCAUCGAAAAGCUGUUCAGACAGAAAAUGACAGAUGCUACACAUGA